rnacentral:piRNA from 1 species
CAGCAGAAUAAGACAGUGUCAGAGUG